rnacentral:rRNA from 1 species
GACGAACGCUGGCGGCGUGCUUAACACAUGCAAGUCGAGCGGUAAGGCCCUUUCGGGGGUACACGAGCGGCGAACGGGUGAGUAACACGUGGGCGACCUGCCCUCAGCUCUGGGAUAAGCCCGGGAAACUGGGUCCAAUACCGGAUAUGACCUCUCAUCGCAUGGUGGGUGGUGGAAAGUUUUUUCGGCUGAGGAUGGGCCCGCGGCCUAUCAGCUUGUUGGUGGGGUGAUGGCCUACCAAGGCGACGACGGGUAGCCGGCCUGAGAGGGCGACCGGCCACACUGGGACUGAGACACGGCCCAGACUCCUACGGGAGGCAGCAGUGGGGAAUAUUGCGCAAUGGGCGGAAGCCUGACGCAGCGACGCCGCGUGGGGGAUGACGGCCUUCGGGUUGUAAACCUCUUUCGACCUUGACGAAGGCCUUCGGGUUGACGGUAGGGGUAGAAGAAGCACCGGCCAACUACGUGC